rnacentral:rRNA from 1 species
UACGUAGGUGGCAAGCGUUGUCCGGAUUUACUGGGCGUAAAGAGCGCGCAGGCGGUCGGAUCAGUCGAAUGUGAAAGCCCCCGGCUCAACUGGGGAGGGUCAUUCGAUACUGUCCGACUCGAAGGCAGGAGAGGGAAGCGGAAUUCCCGGUGUAGUGGUGAAAUGCGUAGAUAUCGGGAGGAACACCAGUGGCGAAGGCGGCUUGCUGGGCCGUAGCUGACGCUGAGGCGCGAAAGCGUGGGGAGCAAACAGG